rnacentral:rRNA from 1 species
UACAGAGGUCUCAAGCGUUGUUCGGAUUCAUUGGGCGUAAAGGGUGCGUAGGUGGCGCUGUAAGUCGGGUGUGAAAUUUCGGAGCUUAACUCCGAAACUGCAUUCGAUACUGCGGUGCUUGAGGACUGGAGAGGAGACUGGAAUUCAUGGUGUAGCAGUGAAAUGCGUAGAUAUCCGGAGGAACACCAGUGGCGAAGGCGACUUUCUGGCCUGUUCUUGACGCUGAGGCGCGAAAGCUAGGGGAGCAAACGGG